rnacentral:rRNA from 1 species
GAUCCUGCUCAGAUUGAACGCUGGCGGCAGGCCUAACACAUGCAAGUCGAACGGUAACAGGAAACAGCUUGCUGUUUCGCUGACGAGUGGCGGACGGGUGAGUAAUGUCUGGGAAACUGCCUGAUGGAGGGGGAUAACUACUGGAAACGGUAGCUAAUACCGCAUAAUGUCGCAAGACCAAAGAGGGGGGACCUUCGGGCCUCUUGCCAUCGGAUGUGCCCAGAUGGGAUUAGCUAGUAGGG